rnacentral:tRNA from 1 species
GGGCCUAUAGCUCAGUCGGUUAGAGCGUUGCCCUGAUAAGGCAAAGGUCACUGGUUCAAGUCCAGUUAGGCCCACCC